rnacentral:lncRNA from 1 species
CAGAGCAAGAGCAUGUGGGCAGGACACUCCCUGCAUUCUCAGAGUGGAAGGAAGGAGAACCCAGGUGCCAUCAGUAGAAGUUUCCAUCUGAGAAACACCAGUGACAGUCUGGUCUGGGAGCGUGUGGCUGGGGAGAUUAAGUGAAGACACGGAGCUCUGUAAGAAGGAAAGAACAUGCCAGCAGGGUGGGGGCUUUGGCCUGAAGUCCACAGCGGGGGAGGGAGGCCCCAGCUCUGUGCAGGGAGCAGCGGCCAUGAUCAGCUGGCCAGCGUGUGGUGUCUUGAAGGAGUCUCGCUCUGUCGCCCAGGCUGGAGUGCAGUGGCACGAUCUCGGCUCACUGAAACCUCUGCUUCCCAGGUUCAAGCGAUUCUUCUGCAUCAGCCUCCCGAGUAUCUGGGACUACAGGCACGCCCAGCUAAUGUUUUGUAUUUUUAGUAGAGAUGGGGUUUCACCAUGUUAGCCAGGAUGGUCUCGAUUUCCUGACCUCAUGAUCCGCCCGCCUCAGCCUCCCAAAAUGCUGGGAUUACAGGCUUGAGCCACCACGCCUGGCACACCUAAUGCCUUUCUUCCUCAAUAAAUGCCACCUUUUCAUCUUUUUAUCUCCCUGGUUCUUGUAGCUUAUAGGCACUUACACAUGCAUUUCUGAAUGAAUGAGUAAGAAAGGAAGGGAGGAGGGGAAAGACUCUAUCCCAAGUGCUCCUCUUUUUCUUUUUCUUCUGUUUCUGUUCUGCCGGGGACAUUAUCUGUUUUCACAGCUUCAGCCCUGACAUGCCUUCCAGUCUGAAGUCUUGCGUUUUUGACUCCUGCUGGAGUUGGGAAGCUCAAAUUCAACACAUGUAAAAUGGAACUUAUCAUCUUCCAUCAAAAAUAAAGCUUCUGAAAUGGAAAUAAUA